CAAAGCAAAACAUAUCAAAAAAAUAAAAAAUUAAUCUGUUCUUCAUCUUCUCCUAAUAUCAUUCGUGCCCCCUCCCCUCUGAAACACACCAAAACUGCAAAACUCUAGCAAUAAUUGACUGCAUUGAUCUCUGUAGCUAGCCACCCACGAAAUUUAAAGAACCUAAAGGAGAAGGAAGGCUAAACCACUCAACUCUGCAAAUGCGGCGUCUUUCUCCUCUAUGGAAGUUCUUUAAAUACCCCUUCGCCCUCCAUCGUCGAGCCCCGUCCAGCCGUUGUCGUCCAGCACCUCUCCCUUUCUGGCGCCUCUCCCAGUGUGUCUGGUUCUACCACUCAACAAACUUAUUCCCAUAUGGCCAACAAGAGUAGAACGAAUGAAAGGCAGAUAUUGAAUAAAUAGAUAUUGAGUAAAAACCAUAAAGGUAUUGAAGAGAUGUGGUUAGAGGUUCUAUAGAGGAUUCAAGUUACUGGACUGAGAGAAUUUUUGUAUAAAGAAGGCAAGCUGAUCUCUGUCAGUUUUAGAGCAGGUAACCUCGUGUAAGCUAUGGCGGCAAGUGGGAGAAUCUUUCAAACCUCCUAAGACAUGUACCACAGUUUCAUGGACUUUCCCUGGGUUUUAUGAGAAGGUGG